GCAUAUCGAUAAGCGGGAGGGAAUAGAAAUAUCAGGGAAUUGCCCUAGUAACGGCGAGUGAAGCGGCAACAGCUUCAAAUUUGAAAUCUGGCUUUCGGGCCCGAGUUGUAAUUUUGUAGAGGAUGAUUUUGAUGCGGGUGCCUUCCGAGUUCCCUGGAACGGGACGCCAUAGAGGGUGAGAGCCCCGUCUGGUUGGAUGCCAAAUCUCUGUAAAUCUCCUUCGACGAGUCGAGUAGUUUGGGAAUGCUGCUCUAAAUGGGAGGUAUAUGUCUUCUAAAGCUAAAUACCGGCCAGAGACCGAUAGCGCACAAGUAGAGUGAUCGAAAGAUGAAAAGCACUUUGAAAAGAGAGUUAAAAAGUACGUGAAAUUGUUGAAAGGGAAGCGUUUAUGACCAGACUUGGGCUUGGUUAAUCAUCUGGGGUUCUCUCCAGUGCACUUUUCCAGUCCAGGCCAGCAUCAGUUUUCGCCGGGGGAUAAAGGCUUCGGGAAUGUGGCUCCCCUCGGGGAGUGUUAUAGCCCGUUGUGUAAUACCCUGGUGGGGACUGAGGUUCGCGCUUCUGCAAGGAUGCUGGCGUAAUGGUCAUCAACGACCCGUCUUGAAACACGGACCAAGGAGUCGUCUUCGUAUGCGAGUGUUCGGGUGUCAAACCCCUACGCGUAAUGAAAGUGAACGCAGGUGAGAGCUUCGGCGCAUCAUCGACCGAUCCUGAUGUUCUCGGAUGGAUUUGAGUAAGAGCAUACGGGGCCGGACCCGAAAGAAGGUGAACUAUGCCUGUGUAGGGUGAAGCCAGAGGAAACUCUGGUGGAGGCUCGCAGCGGUUCUGACGUGCAAAUCGAUCGUCAAACAUGGGCAUGGGGGGCGAAAGACUAAUCGAACCUUCUAGUAGCUGGGUUUCCGCCGAAG
rnacentral:rRNA from 1 species